AGAGUUUGAUCCUGGCUCAGGAUGAACGCUGUCGGAAUGCUUAACACAUGCAAGUCAACCGGGAAACUUCUUCGGAAGUGGUAACGGUGGCGGACGGGUGAGUAACGCGUGAGAAACUUGCCCCAUAGACUGGGAUAACCAUUUGAAAAGAUGGCUAAUACCGGAUAAGCUCACAUUAUCGCAUGGUAGAGUGAGAAAAUGAAUGCGCUAUGGGAGAGUCUCGCGUCCUAUUAGCUAGUUGGUGAGGUAACGGCUCACCAAGGCGACGAUAGGUAGCCGGCCUGAGAGGGUGAUCGGCCACAAGGGAACUGAGACACGGUCCUUACUCCUACGGGAGGCAGCAGUGGGGAAUAUUGGACAAUGGAGGAAACUCUGAUCCAGCAAUUCCGUGUGUAUGAAGAAGGCUUUCGGGUUGUAAAGUACUUUCAAUAGGGAAGAAACAAAUGACGGUACCUAUAGAAGAAGCACCGGCUAAUUACGUGCCAGCAGCCGCGGUAAGACGUAAGGUGCAAGCGUUAUCCGGAAUUACUGGGCGUAAAGGGCGUCUAGGCGGCAAUGCAAGUCAGAGGUGAAAAGUCUGGGCUCAACCGAGGCCUUGCCUUUGAAACUGCAUAGCUAGAAUACGGGAGAGGAGGGCGGAACUACAAGUGUAGCGGUGAAAUGCGUAGAUAUUUGUAGGAAUGCCGAUGUCGAAGGAAGCUCUCUGGACCGAUAUUGACGCUGAAGCGCGAAAGCUAGGGGAGCAAACAGGAUUAGAUACCCUGGUAGUCCUAGCUGUAAACGAUGGAUACUGGGUGUGGGUUCGUGAAAGGAUCUGUGCCGAAGCAAACGCGAUAAGUAUCCCGCCUGGGGAGUACGUUCGCAAGAAUAAAACUCAAGGAAUUGACGG
rnacentral:rRNA from 1 species